UACGGAGGGUGCGAGCGUUGUUCGGAAUUACUGGGCGUAAAGCGCGUGUAGGCGGUCGAGCCAGUCCGAUGUGAAAGCCUUCCGCUUAACGGAAGAAGUGCAUUGGAAACUACUCGGCUGGAGUUCGGGAGAGGAGAGUGGAAUUCCUGGUGUAGAGGUGAAAUUCGUAGAUAUCAGGAGGAACACCGGUGGCGAAGGCGGCUCUCUGGCCCGGUACUGACGCUGAGACGCGAAAGCGUGGGGAGCAAACAGG
rnacentral:rRNA from 1 species